rnacentral:rRNA from 1 species
GAUGAACGCUGGCGGCGUGCCUAAUACAUGCAAGUCGAGCUAACAGACGAGGAGCUUGCUCCUCUGACGUUAGCGGCGGACGGGUGAGUAACACGUGGAUAACCUACCUAUAAGACUGGGAUAACUUCGGGAAACCGGAGCUAAUACCGGAUAACAUGUUGAACCGCAUGGUUCAACAGUGAAAGACGGUCUUGCUGUCACUUAUAGAUGGAUCCGCGCCGCAUUAGCUAGUUGGUAAGGUAACGGCUUACCAAGGCAACGAUGCGUAGCCGACCUGAGAGGGUGAUCGGCCACACUGGAACUGAGACACGGUCCAGACUCCUACGGGAGGCAGCAGUAGGGAAUCUUCCGCAAUGGGCGAAAGCCUGACGGAGCAACGCCGCGUGAGUGAUGAAGGUCUUCGGAUCGUAAAACUCUGUUAUUAGGGAAGAACAAAUGUGUAAGUAACUAUGCACGUCUUGACGGUACCUAAUCAGAAAGCCACGGCUAACUACGUG